AACAUGCUAUAACCGCACGAACCGGGUUCCAUAAGUAUCCGUUCUUUAAUAGAGACGAGUCACCCAGGCUAGGCGAGUCUGAGACAUGAA
rfam:Paenibacillus swuensis strain DY6, complete genome.